GGUUCUAUAGUGUAGUGGUCAUCACGUCUGCUUUACACGCAGAAAGUCCUGGGUUCAAUUCCUAGUGGAACCA
rnacentral:tRNA from 1 species